GUCCACGCCGUAAACGAUGAGUGCUAGGUGUUAGGGGUUUCGAUACCCUUGGUGCCGAAGUUAACACAGUAAGCACUCCGCCUGGGGAGUACGGUCGCAAGACUGAAACUCAAAGGAAUUGACGGGGACCCGCACAAGCAGUGGAGUAUGUGGUUUAAUUCGAAGCAACGCGAAGAACCUUACCAGGUCUUGACAUCCCUCUGAAUCCACUAGAGAUAGUGGCGGCCUUCGGGACAGAGGAGACAGGUGGUGCAUGGUU
rnacentral:rRNA from 1 species